UCCCCGUUACCGGGGCAGUCUGAAUAGAAAAAUACAACUAUUCAUAAGGGUUGCGCUCGUUGAUGGACUUAACCAAACAUCUCACGACACGAGCUGACGACGGCCAUGCAGCACCUGUCACUCAGUUCCCGAGGGCACUCACUUCUUUCGAAGUAAUUCUGAGGAUGUCAAGCCCUGGUAAGGUUCUUCGCUUAGCAUCGAAUUAAAGAACAUGAUCCACCGCUUGUGCGGGUCCCCGUCAAUUCCUUUAUGUUUUAGUCUUGCGACCGUACUCCACAGGCGGGGUGCUUAACGCGUUAGCUUCGCUACUGAAGGGGUCGAUACCUCCAACAGCUAGCACCCAUCGUUUACGGCGUGGACUAC
rnacentral:misc_RNA from 1 species